GAUGAACGCUAGCGGCAGGCUUAACACAUGCAAGUCGAGGGGUAACAGGGAUUGCUUGCAAUCCGCUGACGACCGGCGCACGGGUGCGUAACGCGUAUAGAACCUACCUUUUACUGGGGGAUAGCCUUUAGAAAUGAAGAUUAAUACCCCAUAGUAUUUUUGAUUGGCAUCGAUUAAAAAUUAAAGAUUACGGUAAAAGAUGGCUAUGCGUCUUAUUAGCUAGAUGGUAAGGUAACGGCUUACCAUGGCAACGAUAAGUAGGGGCCCUGAGAGGGGGAUCCCCCACACUGGUACUGAGACACGGACCAGACUCCUACGGGAGGCAGCAGUGAGGAAUAUUGGUCAAUGGAGGCAACUCUGAACCAGCCAUGCCGCGUGCAGGAAGACUGCCCUAUGGGUU
rnacentral:rRNA from 1 species